GACGAACGCUGGCGGCGUGCUUAACACAUGCAAGUCGAACGGAGCGAAUGAAAGCUUGCUUUUAUGAGCUUAGUGGCAAACGGGUGAGUAACACGUAGACAACCUGCCGAUAGGAUGGGGACAACAUUCCGAAAGGAAUGCUAAUACCGAAUGGCGUGUAGGGGAGGCAUCUCCCGUACAUGAAAGAUGGCCUCUGAAUAUGCUAUCACCUAUCGAUGGGUCUGCGUCUGAUUAGCUAGUAGGUAAGGUAACGGCUUACCUAGGCGACGAUCAGUAGCCGGUCUGAGAGGACGAACGGCCACAUUGGAACUGAGACACGGCCCAGACUCCUACGGGAGGCAGCAGUGGGGAAUCUUCCGCAAUGGGCGCAAGCCUGACGGAGCAACGCCGCGUGAGUGAAGAAGGUCUUCGGAUCGUAAAGCUCUGUUGAAGGGGACGAACGUAUAUAGUGCGAAU
rnacentral:rRNA from 1 species